AACAAAUGCAAAUCACCCUUUUACAAAGCAAGAAAUCACGUGCAAGAUGUGGUUGCUAUGUACAACUAAUCAUUUUCCAUGAUCAAGCCUGCCCACGGAGGAAGCUUAAGACCAAGCAUUCUCUGAGGACACAAGUCAUAGUUACAUUUUUCACACAGCAGUUUGCUGUUGUGUAUUUUGCAAAAAUAUCUUAUUCAACAACAACAACAACAACAAA